rnacentral:sRNA from 3 species
UGUAUCUGAAGCCUGACGAGGAUGAGAACCUCCGGGGGCAAGAGGUUCGACCCGAGCGAAGCGAGAGAACGUUGCUUCAGCAACGGCCCGCAGGGCGAGCCACGCAGUGGCGAGUCAUCCUCUAUCACCGACCA